UUUCCAAUUCAUCAUAUCAUUUAAGACAUAUAAGACAUAUUUGACAUACAGAUGGCUUAUUUACAAAUUUCAUUUUAGAUUUCGUUCUAAUACAUCCUAACCGGACAUUUAAGACAUACCAA